GAGAAGGCUGUUUCUUCACAGCUGAAUCUGUACCAGAACGUUUCCCUGACCUCCCUGUCAUGCCCCAGAGCUGAUGGGAAGUUUUGCAGCUCAGCCAAAUUCAUCUUUCAAUUACAUCUGGACUGAUCUGGAGUGACUCCAGGGAAGUUAAUAGAAUUACUUUGGAUUGAUGCAAGUGUAACACAGCAGAGUUUGGCCUGUUUGGACCUAUGCAAUGAGCAAUAGAGGAAUCAUAGAACUGAUUUGUGAUUAUGUCAGGUGCUGGCUUGAUUCAAUUGGCAUCCACAAUUAUGCAGAAAGAAAUGGGCACUGAGUCUUGUUCGGUGUCACCCCAGGGAAGAGCAUGGCACACAUAAAAAGACCUUUGAUUUGGGGAGUAGAGUGGAAGACCCAACUAAGUGGGUGUUGUAGGAGGUGCAGUGAAGGGCUGAGGAUACUUAAUGCCAUUACUUGCAUCCAGAGCAAGGGGGUUACACAUGAUGAACCUCUGGUUCUUUCUACCCACCUCUCAUCCUGUCAGUGCCUGGUGACCAGCACUGGGACUACCGUAGUGCUAGAACCUAGCACCUCACUGCUCAGCUAUUGAGCAAUGUCAAAACUGCUCUGCCAGCCAACGCAGUGCAAAUAUCGGAGUAGGCAGGGCUACGGGAAAGUCUCAGGAGGCAGAAAGGGAAUAUAUUUGCACAACAAUGGCAUGGCCGUUUCAGGAUCUUUUCAAAAAAUGGUUACAGCACAUAACAAGCUACAUAAAUGGAGCGGCCACCUGCUUCGUAAAAAAACUCUGCCCUUUUAUACUCCUUGGGCAUUAGAUAAACUGGAAACCUUUUUUUCCCCACCCACCCCCACACCUAAAUAGGGCAGAUUUACACAAAUAUACAGCUUAUUAAAGAACUUAAAAUAAAAACUCCAUUUCAUUUAAACAUCACUGAUUUCAUGGGAAUUAAAAUAGCACCAUGCAAGACAGAGUUCCAAGUAUCCAGUUUAACAAAACAGGGAAAAUUAUCCCUUGUCACGAUAGUACUUUAAGAUAAAUAUUGUGGGUGCCAUGAUUUUUGUUAAUGAGAUCUUUAUAAAUAGAUGAAGAUGCUCCUAUGAAGCCUGCAAGAACACGAUCUGGACAGUGUCUGGUGUGACGGCUUCAUCUUGGCUUGCGCAGCUGGCACUGGCACCCCCUCAGCUGCAAGAACAAGUCUUUAGAGCUUGAGUUAAAGACAAACUGAGUAGAUGGUGGAAGUGAUGGGCACACUUGUGCUCUCUGUGACACAGAGAGGAGAAUCAGUGUUGAGCAGGGGAUUACAUACCUCCUCUGGACAACAGAAACUCACCUUGAGCAUCUGAGGUCCCUGGCAAUGACUGAAUCCCUCAUAGACCUUGCUUAUAGUAUAGCCACCAUUCAAGAGUGACUUCAAACCCUCGGGGCUAACAGCCUGGAUUGCAGGAGGACUGAAGGGCCAGGCCCACAAGCUCAGGUCUCUACCCAACGGGUGAACUGGUGGACUCAGGACAAAAACCAAACUCUUGAAUGACUACUUCAUGUUGGUACUCCACCAGUCCAAGGGGGUUAGCCUGCUUGACAGGCUACAGGAUCAUCAUGGUGGGGGUGACCACCCUCCCACCGUUGGCAUUCAUCUUGUGCAGAGGA